UUCCGGUUGAUCCUGCCGGAGGUCACUGCUAUCGGAGUUCGAUUAAGCCAUGCGAGUCGAGAGGUGCAAGACCUCGGCAUACUGCUCAGUAACACGUGGACAACCUACCCUAUGGAGGGGGAUAACCCCGGGAAACUGGGGAUAAUACCCCAUAGACUAUGGAUGCUGGAAUGCUCUGUAGCCAAAAGGUCAGCCGCCAUAGGAUGGGUCUGCGGCCGAUUAGGUAGUUGUUGGGGUAACGGCCCAACAAGCCUGUAAUCGGUACGGGUUGUGGGAGCAAGAGCCCGGAGAUGGAUUCUGAGACACGAAUCCAGGCCCUACGGGGCGCAGCAGGCGCGAAAACUUUGCAAUGCGGGAAACCGUGACAAGGGAACUCCGAGUGCCCGUAAAUUCGGGCUGUCCAUCUGUGUAAAUAACAGGUGAAGAAAGGGCCGGGCAAGACCGGUGCCAGCCGCCGCGGUAAUACCGGCGGCUCGAGUGGUGGCCACUAUUACUGGGCUUAAAGCGUCCGUAGCUGGUCUGUUAAGUCUCUGGGGAAAUCUACCGGCUUAACCGGUAGGCGUCUCAGGGAUACUGGCAGACUAGGGACCGGGAGAGGUGAGGGGUACUCCAGGGGUAGGAGUGAAAUCCUGUAAUCCUUGGGGGACCACCUGUGGCGAAGGCGCCUCACCAGAACGGCUCCGACAGUGAGGGACGAAAGCUGGGGGGAGCAAACCGGAUUAGAUACCCGGGUAGUCCCAGCUGUAAACGAUGCGCGUUAGGUGUAUCGGUGACCACGAGUCCCCGAGGUGCCGAAGGGAAACCGUGAAACGUGCCGCCUGGGAAGUACGGUCGCAAGGCUGAAACUUAAAGGAAUUGGCGGG
rnacentral:rRNA from 1 species